CAGUCGCCGCGGUAAAACGAAGGGGGCUAGCGUUGUUUGGAAUUACUGGGCGUAAAGCGCACGUAGGCGGAUAUUUAAGUCAGGGGUGAAAUCCCAGAGCUCAACUCUGGAACUGCCUUUGAUACUGGGUAUCUUGAGUAUGGAAGAGGUAAGUGGAAUUCCGAGUGUAGAGGUGAAAUUCGUAGAUAUUCGGAGGAACACCAGUGGCGAAGGCGGCUUACUGGUCCAUUACUGACGCUGAGGUGCGAAAGCGUGGGGAGCAAACAGGAUUAGAUACCCCUGUAGUCCCUGUCUCUUAUAC
rnacentral:rRNA from 1 species